UGGUGAUGCCCACAGUGGAUUGGAUACUUCCACAUCACAUCAGUGCAAUCUCUUGUAGAUGGGCCCAGAGCCAAGUUGAUAUAGAUAAUUACCUGGUUAAGACUCUCUUAUGAGAUGAAUCUAAGUUCUGUUAAGUAGACAGCUAAAAACUCAUCAUCAUAGCUAGGAAGACUGUCAACUUAAUGGGUGCCUUAUUGUGUGAGAAUGUAUGUUUGUUUGUUUGGUUGGUUAGCUUGUUUGUUUUGAUACAUCCUCAAUAUUAUAACAUAUCUGUUUCUGUUAUUUGAAAUAUUGAUACAAGGCAGCUUGGUUUGUGUAUAUCUGUUUAGUAAUUAUUAAAGUACUGAAUUCUUGAUCAGUGAUUUUACAAAGUGAACACAUACACUGUUUCAUUUUUAAAUAGCUUGUAAUGUCUGUGUUGCUCUUUUAUUUCACAUUCCUUGACUUGUGGCAAGGGAAAGUAAGUCUGUUUAGGAAACCAGAUUCUAAGAAUAUACAGCUUUACAAUUUAUUCAUACUUCUUUUUAUGAGAUCAGGACUGUGUAGACUUCAGCAUUGAGAUACUAAUACCUCAUUGUAACUGAUGCCAUGCUCAUUUAGUCUUCAGUGCCAAAGGCUUAUUAGUUACUGAUUUACUAAGAAGCCUGGAAGCAUAUUGAUUCACAAUGCUUUACAUUAUCCAGAAUUAAAUUCAGUGAGUUAGUACGGGCAAUAAAAAAAAAAAAAAAGAAAAUGUCAUAUGUUUUCCAAGUAUUCUAGAUGACUAUUCUCAAGCUUAGUUGGCUUGUGCAAAGUCUAGUUUGCCACCUCCUAUCUUCAGGAAAGUAUCAUAAUUUUUUUCAUAAUAAUUCAUAAUAAUUUAGCCCCUAUAUAUAUUAAAUGAAAUGGAACACAUUCUUUGCUCUAGAUCUGUGCUGUGUCUCUCUAAUACAUAUGAUUUGUAGACAUAGAAUGCUGGUUUACACUCUUCAUUAUAAAUUAUGUAACAAAUUUGUAGUGUGUGUGUGUGUUUGUGUGUGUGAGUGUGUGUACAGGCCAAAGGUCAAUGGUAGUUAGUGCCAGUAUCAGUUGUCUUUUUGCAGAUAGGAUCUCUCAUUACCUAGAACUUUCUAAGGAAGCAAGGCUGGGUAGCUAGCUCUACCUCCAAGCUCUGGGAUUACAAGUAUGCAUCAUCACAGUGAGGAUACUUUAUGUAGACUUUGAGUGCUCUAACACAGGUCCAGACAUCAUUUUCCCCUUCAGAGCCAGAAGAACCUGCAAUUCUCAGUGGUAAUUUUCUAUAUACCCUUCCUUGUCUCUUUCUUCUAACCAGUUUUAUUCUUUGCAUAUGAUAUGUUGAGGAACAUACUAAAGACACUGAAAUAAGAAAAAGGGAAAAUAAAAAAUAUUGCCUUAGUCAUUGUUGUCAAAGUAACUUCCCUAAAGGCGACAUAAACAUCUACCUCUCCUAAUAUCUCAAGAUCAAACUUAAUUAUAAUUUCUUUAGUGCUGAGAAGAUCCAAUGAGUUUAUUAGGCUUACUUUCAGAGCCAUUAGGGAGGAGUUGCAGGGGUUGCAUGGGUGACCUUAAAGCAGCCACACUCAAAAGUCUGUUCCCAGCAGGUUUGAUGACUUCAUCUGGCUGUCUUUCCCAACAUAUAUUCUCUAGAGGAUGCACACUCUGAGACCAGGGAAAUUGGUGCAGAAUUUCAUGUGAUUUGGCGGGGUGAUUGUGUACUUGGGUGAGGGUUCCAUGAUCCUCUUCUCCCUCUCCUCUCCUAUGAGUAGGCUCAGCAGAAAUUAAAACAGUAACAGUUUAGCUAGGCAAAUAGUUCUGUAUUCAGUCAUGUUCCCUUUUGGAAACAGAGAUUCUGUUGUUCUUGUUACUUUGUCUCAAAUUUAUUACAAAGCAAAUUUUCAUCAGAGAAAUGAUGCUAGGUUUCUCAGGAUACAUGACCAAUAAAAUAGAAGACAAAGAACAAUAUCAUGUUUGGAUCGUGGUUCCUUUAUGCGAAUGGAUACAGAGACAGUUAUUCAUGCUUCCUUGCAGGGAUAAGGUACUCGCUGGGGAAGGUUGGCCAGAUAUUGAGAUGUUCACCUUUUGAUGUGGUACACUAACUGGAUCUUCCUUUAAACGUGUACUUUUAGCUGGUUGAUUAUGACUAAAUAAUCAGGAUGUGAAAGAAUGAGUUAAUUUAAAAAUCUAUUGCACAGAAAAUGAUCAUCUGAGUCUCUUUUAAGGAAGCACACCAGUAAAAUUGUUGGUUGUGAUUAGCUUCCAACUGGAGCUCUUAGGAUUUCCAAUGCACUGCGUAAGGCUUCUAAACUACCAUUAUAUUGUGAACAAAUUGUGGAUAACACUGUGUCCUUACAUAUGCACAAUGUACAAUGAAUUUUAUAUGCAUAAUGUUUAUACAAAACGAAAGCGUUGUCUGGGGCAUAAACACUUUCACUUAGUGUCUAAUAAAUUCUAAGUAUAAUCACACUUGUUUAAUAAAUUGUAUAUAAUCAUCAUGUUAUCUUGGACAUAAACACUGGCAGAUAGCACUUUAAUAGGUUGUACAUGCAAUCAUGCUUUUAUUAGAGAUAGUGAUAUUUUAUACAUUUAAAUAUAACAGUUUAAAUAUGAAAUGUGUGAUAUAGGACCUAUAAAAUUAUUUAACAGGUGGAUGCUACCAACACCAAUGAAAUCAUAUAGUCAGGCUCAUGGAAUUUAUAUUGCUACCUUCUGGCUUGCUGAAAGAAAGACUGAAAGCAGGUGUUUAAGUUCUGGCUUUCAUUUCUAUUGAUAGGUACUGCUCACAUGAUUUACUAAUUCACUUUAUUCUGAAUCCAUUGCUUAAAGAUUUCGCAUCUAAGGAACUGAGCACAAUGUAUCAUGUAUAAACAAUUUAUAUUUUAAUUUCUAUUAUUAAACAUCAUUUCUAGACCUUUAUGCUAAAAAAAUCUAAGUAGACGUUGCAUACAUAGAAGUAUUUCUUUAAUUGAUGUUUUUUGUAUUUUUAAGAGAAACUUAAUUUGCACAGUACAAUCAUCUUCAGUCAAAAUGUUUUCCUGAAAAAUGACAAUAAUUUAUAUUUUUAUAACUGGAAAAUCCUACUCCAUGUGGAGUUCUGUGAUAUUACCUAGAACUGAAAUGAACACUUUUUAUUCUAAAAUAAAAAAUAUUUUUUUCCAGUGAUGAUACAGCUUCCCUUUCUAAAACUGUAAUAGAUAAUUGUGUUCUUCAAUUAUUAUGAGUUAAACAUUACUGAGCAAAAAUGUUCAGGUUUCUACUACUUAGGCAUAAAUGUUGAUUUAGUGACUAUAGUAUCUUGAUUUUUGCUGUUUUGUGCAGUAGACCUGUUCUACAAAGUGUCAGAAAACAUUUCUUAGACUGGAGAAAUGGUUUUAUAGCUGAGUGGGAUAUCUGGGAUAGCUAGAGAUGUAGUUCAAUUCAUAGAUUACUUGUGUAGCAUUCCAGACUGAUAGUGCAGUCCAAAACCUCAGCAUUCAAGUUGAGGAAACAAAAGCAUCC
rnacentral:lncRNA from 1 species